rnacentral:rRNA from 1 species
AGAGUUUGAUCAUGGCUCAGAUUGAACGCUGGCGGCAGGCCUAACACAUGCAAGUCGAACGGUAACAGGAAACAGCUUGCUGUUUCGCUGACGAGUGGCGGACGGGUGAGUAAUGUCUGGGAAACUGCCUGAUGGAGGGGGAUAACUACUGGAAACGGUAGCUAAUACCGCAUAACGUCGCAAGACCAAAGAGGGGGACCCUCGGGCCUCUUGCCAUCGGAUGUGCCCAGAUGGGAUUAGCUUGUUGGUGGGGUAACGGCUCACCAAGGCGACGAUCCCUAGCUGGUCUGAGAGGAUGACCAGCCACACUGGAACUGAGACACGGUCCAGACUCCUACGGGAGGCAGCAGUGGGGAAUAUUGCACAAUGGGCGCAAGCCUGAUGCGGCCAUGCCGCGUGUAUGAAGAAGGCCUUCGGGUUGUAAAGUACUUUCAGCGGGGAGGAAGGGAGUAAGUUAAUACCUUUGCUCAUUGACGUUACCCGCAGAAGAAGCACCGGCUAACUCCGUGCCAGCAGCCGCGGUAAUACGGAGGGUGCAAGCGUUAAUCGGAAUUACUGGGCGUAAAGCGCACGCAGGCGGUUUGUUAAGUCAGAUGUGAAAUCCCCGGGCUCAACCUGGGAACUGCGUCUGAUACUGGCAAGCUUGAGUCUCGUAGAGGGGGGUAGAAUUCCAGGUGUAGCGGUGAAGUGCGUAGAGAUCUGGAGGAAUACCGGUGGCGAAGGCGGCCCCCUGGACGAAGACUGACGCUCAGGUGCGAAAGCGUGGGGAGCAAACAGGAUUAGAUACCCUGGUAGUCCACGCCGUAAACGAUGUCGACUUGGAGGUUGUGCCCUUGAGGCGUGGCUUCCGGAGCUAACGCGUUAAGUCGACCGCCUGGGGAGUACGGCCGCAAGGUUAAAACUCAAAUGAAUUGACGGGGGCCCGCACAAGCGGUGGAGCAUGUGGUUUAACUCGAUGCAACGCGAAGAACCUUGCCUGGUCUUGACAUCCACGGAAGUUUUCAGAGAUGAGAAUGUGCCUUCGGGAACCGUGAGACAGGUGCUGCAUGGCUGUCGUCAGCUCGUGUUGUGAAAUGUUGGGUUAAGUCCCGCAACGAGCGCAACCCUUAUCCUUUGUUGCCAGCGGUCCGGCCGGGAACUCAAAGGAGACUGCCAGUGAUAAACUGGAGGAAGGUGGGGAUGACGUCAAGUCAUCAUGACCCUUACGACCAGGGCUACACACGUGCUACAAUGGCGCAUACAAAGAGAAGCGACCUCGCGAGAGCAAGCGGACCUCAUAAAGUGCGUCGUAGUCCGGAUUGGAGUCUGCAACUCGACUCCAUGAAGUCGGAAUCGCUAGUAAUCGUGGAUCAGAAUGCCACGGUGAAUACGUUCCCGGGCCUUGUACACACCGCCCGUCACACCAUGGGAGUGGGUUGCAAAAGAAGUAGGUAGCUUAACCUUCGGGAGGGCGCUUACCACUUUGUGAUUCAUGACUGGGGUGAAGUCGUAACAAGGUAACCGUAGGGGAACCUGCGGUUG